UCCAAAAAGUGGGUGAGGUAGGGUCGUGU
rnacentral:piRNA from 1 species